rnacentral:rRNA from 1 species
UACGUAGGCAGCAAGCGUUGUUCGGAGUUACUGGGCGUAAAGGGUGCGUAGGCGGCUUCUUAAGUUUGGUGUGAAAUCUCCCGUCUCAACUGGGAGGGUGCGCCGGAAUACCUGAGGGGCUAGAGUGUGGGAGAGGAAAGUGGAAUUCCAGGUGUAGCGGUGAAAUGACGUAGAUAUCAGGAGGAACACCGGUGGCGAAGGCGGUUCUCUGGGCCUUACCUGACGCUGAGGAGCGAAAGCGUGGGGAGCAAACAGG